CGUCGACCCACUCCUUACCCAAGAGGUUUUAUGGUGAGAUAGUAGGAACCCUUCGGUGAACUUGGUAGCGCAUUAGAACUUUGUUUUCGCAGGUAUCGAGCUAGCUCCUGG